rnacentral:lncRNA from 1 species
CGGCGGCACUGCGCCGGGACACUGCGCUGAACGGGACGCGCUCCGGGAUGGGCACCCCGAGCGGCGCCGGGGGCGCGAGGACAGCGUUGGUGCGACGCGGCUUGCAGCGAUAGACUGCUUUUGAAGUAGCAAAGCGCUUUCUAUUCAUUUCAAGGUGUCUGAGAACAACUGUCUCUAUCAUGGUGCGAAACAGGAGGGAGGCAGGCAGGCUGAGAAUCACAGAGCAGCGCUUCAAUCAUUACAUCUAUCAUCUGUUUAACUCCUUGAUUUAAAUACUAUUUAUCUGUUUUACUUCAACUGUCUGAAGAACUGAACUAAAUCACUGUCUAUAUUAAAAGAAAGACCUUCUACUCUC